UACAGAGGGUGCGAGCGUUAAUCGGAAUUACUGGGCGUAAAGCGUGCGCAGGCGGUCUUUUUAAGUCAGAUGUGAAAUCCCCCGGGCUUAACCUGGGAACUGCACUUGUGACUGCACGACUGGAGUACGGCAGAGGGGGGAUGGAAUUCCGCGUGUAGCAGUGAAAUGCGUAGAUAUGCGGAGGGAACACCGAUGGCGAAGGCAGUCCCCUGGGCCUGUACUGACGCUCAUGCACGAAAGCGUGGGGAGCAAACAGG
rnacentral:rRNA from 1 species